rnacentral:rRNA from 1 species
AUUGAACGCUGGCGGCAUGCCUUACACAUGCAAGUCGAACGGUAGAGUAGCAAUACUUGAGAGUGGCGAACGGGUGAGUAAUAUAUCGGAACGUGCCCAACUGUGGGGGAUAACGUAGAGAAAUUUACGCUAAUACCGCAUACGAUCUAAGGAUGAAAGCGGGGGAUCGCAAGACCUCGCGCAGUUGGAGCGGCUGAUAUCAGAUUAGCUUGUUGGCGAGGUAAAAGCUCACCAAGGCGACGAUCUGUAGCUGGUUUGAGAGAACGACCAGCCACACUGGGACUGAGACACGGCCCAGACUCCUACGGGAGGCAGCAGUGGGAAUUUUGGACAAUGGGCGAAAGCCUGAUCCAGCAAUGCCGCGUGCAGGAAGAAGGCCUUCGGUUGUAACUAGCUUUGUAC